rnacentral:misc_RNA from 1 species
GAUGAAGAACGUAGCGAAAUGCGAUAAGUAAUGUGAAUUGCAGAAUUCAGUGAAUCAUCGAAUCUUUGAACGCACCUUGCGCCCUUUGGCCAUUCCGAAGGGCAUGCCUGUUUGAGUAUCAUGAACACCUCAACUCUUUAUGGUUUUCCAUGAUGAGCUUGGACUCUGGGGGUUUUGCUGGCUCACAGUCGGCUCCUCUAAAAUGAAUCAGCUUACCAGUGUUUGGUGGGUAUCAUGGGUGUGAUAACUAUCUACGCUUUUGGUUUUUCCACCAGGUAACCUUCAGCAGUGGAGGUUCGCUGGAGCUCAUAGAUGUCUCUCCUCAGUGAGGACAGCCCUUUGAAUGUUUGAUCUCAAAUCAGGUAGGACUACCCGCUGAACUUAAGCAUAUCAAUAAGCGGAGGA